UGUGAAUUCUCCCGUCUCACCCCACAAAUCCUAACGGGCACCCGCGAGCUUUCUCGUCUCGACUUUCACACAGCAAAUGUCCAGGCUUCGGAGGUCACUGUCACAUCCCAAGAACCCCCUUCACCAGGUGCCACUCUUGAGACUGGACUGAAGCCCCCUGGAGAGUUCCACUUGCCUUUGUCCUGCUGCCUGAGGUGAGGACAUGGACGGCCGGGUACAAGACGGGGCAGGCAACCUCGCAGUGGUGGUAACCCUGUGCAUGAACCCUGGGCCUGGCACGUGGACCUCCUGUGACCGUCCCCACAGGCCCGUGAGGCUGAGCUUGGCACUGCCCAAGACCACACAGUCCAUGCGCGGUGGAGCUGGGGUCCAGGCUGCCCACCAGGGCAGUGACUACAAUGGUGGCAGCAGGGGACGGUCACCGUCAUGAGCUCAAGCCAGGCGCUGCACUGACCUUGAGGGAGGGCUCCAUGCUUCCCCUUCCCACAGCUGCAGUGAGGCCUAGCAGAGCAGGGUCGGCUGCGGGCUUGAGUCCUGGGGUGCCCCUGGGCUGACGGGCCCUGCCUGACCUGCUCCUCCAGUGCCCCAGCCCUGCCCCACCCACGUCCCCUCCUCUCACUGCCCCCUGGCCCACUCCGCUGCGGUCUCAGUGCCUUCCCAGGCUGGGCAUCAUCUGAUGGGAGGAAAAUGAGGGCCCCAGACUCUGUGUCAUCCUGGCAGGACCCCUCCCCUCCCAUGGCUUUGAGCCCAUGAGAUGGCCUUGGACAAAGCGGCAAUGGGCCCUUCCUGAGACACAGUGCGGCCAUCUACUGGAAAACUGCCCAGUGUGACUCUGAUGACUGUGAUGUGAAUCCUACAGCAAAGUUGAGCAGUGCGCAACCUGGGCUACUGCACCUGGCAGCCCCGGCUCCUCCUCGUCUGCCUCUUCCUGCUCCUUCAUUCUCCCCCAGAGCUCUAAUUGUCACUGAGAUUUUAUGUUUCAUUUAACAAAUGACUGUCUCCCCGCUUGAACAGAACCUCCAUGGGGGGAGGGAAGAGUGUCUGUUGUAUAAAUAGUUGUAUUUCAGUGCAUAAAACAGUGCCUGCCUCAAAGGGAGGACUCAGUCAAUAUCUGUUGAAUGAAUGAAUGAAUAAUUGCCUGGGUCAACGAAUGAAUGGCUGAAUGAAUGAUUUCUCCUUUCCCUCGGCACUGUCUGGAGUCCCCAGGACAGGCAUGGGCAGCAGUCGCUGGUCUGUGGCCUGUCCCACUGGACUUGGGGUUCUCAUGCUUGGUCUGGGCGGAGAUCACCCACCAGGCUCCCAGGUCGAUCCUCUGCUCAUGGGAAGCUGCGUCCGGCCCAGCUGCCAGGAGCUCACUGCAGGGUGGAGGGAAGAGCAGGGACGAUCUGCGAGCGCCUGAACAGCGCACAAGAGCCGAGGAGCCGCUGCUUAAAAUGCAGGCGUUGAGAGGAGUUUCGCCUCCUUUUUUGAGUUGAAUAUGAGAUUUCCGAGCAGCCAUGACGAGUUGGGUUGGUGGAAGUGGGGAGUCCGUUCCUCAGUCAGAUGGAGGAGGGGGUCCCCUUGGAUCUCCUCUCGGGGCUCGAACCCUGAUACUUCAAGGUCUCUUCCCACCUGCCCUUGGUGGAUCUGGAAAGCUCCUGGGAACAGGGUGGGUCUUCCUUGUUUUAAAGGUUGUAAGUUGAGAGCACCUCACAUAACUGCCUGGGGCGGCUCUGACGGGCCUCAGUCUGCUUGUGAUGUCACACAGGAAGCCCCUGGGGACUGGGCCGCUCAAGUCCUCCUGGGUCAGACCAGAUCACUGGGCCUGUGGGUUCCGCAGUGAGUCCAGCAUCGUUUCCUGUGCAGUGACCCAGGCCGGGUCCCCAUGGGCUCUGACUAGGGGACAGUGGGACUCGGGGUUGGGGGGCCUGCUUGAGUCAUGGCUUCACUGUCCACUGUGACUGGGGACCCCCAGGGGGAUUUCUGGGGACGCAUUCACCUACUGCACUGGGGUUUCUCUUUCAGAACCACAACACCCUGGAAGGCAAGAAAUGGGGAGCUGCAUCUGCAUCCACAGGGUCCCACCAGCCUGGAACAUCCCCGCUGGUCUAGAAUCCCACCCCACACACCCCGCUGAUCCUGGGCCCGUCCCUGUGACCAGGAGACGGAGUCCAGGGACUCCCCAGGCCUGGGCCACGCGACUGCCCUAAGAGCCUGGCAUCAGGGAGCAGUGCUGUGUGCACCCCCAGGUCCACUGAGAGUAGGG
rnacentral:lncRNA from 1 species